GGAGGCAUAGCUCAGCAGUAGAGCAUUCGACUGCAGAUCGAACAGCCCCCGGUUUAAUUCCGGGCGCCUCCU